rnacentral:rRNA from 1 species
GACGAACGCUGGCGGCGUGCUUAACACAUGCAAGUCGAACGGAAAGACCCUGCUUUUGUGGGGUGCUCGAGUGGCGAACGGGUGAGUAACACGUGAGUAACCUGCCCUUGACUUUGGGAUAACUUCAGGAAACUGGGGCUAAUACCGGAUAGGAGCUCCUGCUGCAUGGUGGGGGUUGGAAAGUUUCGGCGGUUGGGGAUGGACUCGCGGCUUAUCAGCUUGUUGGUGGGGUAGUGGCUUACCAAGGCUUUGACGGGUAGCCGGCCUGAGAGGGUGACCGGCCACAUUGGGACUGAGAUAAGGCCCAGACUCCUACGGGAGGCAGCAGUGGGGAAUAUUGCACAAUGGGCGGAAGCCUGAUGCAGCAACGCCGCGUGCGGGAUGACGGCCUCCGGGUUGUAAACCGCUUUCGCCUGUGACGAAGCGUGAGUGACGGUAAUGGGUAAAGAAGCACCGGCUAACUACGUG